GGCAAGCUACUAAGGGCGUACGGUGGAUGCCUUGGCGCCAGGAGCCGAUGAAGGGCGUGGCACACUGCGAUAAGCCUCGGGGAGCCGUGUGCAGGCGUUGAUCCGGGGAUGCCCGAAUGGGGAAACCCACCUGGGUUAACCCCAGGUACCGCCGGCUGAAUCCAUAGGUCGGCGGGGGGAACGCGGGGAACUGAAACAUCUUAGUACCCGCAGGAAAAGAGAGUAUUCCCUGAGUAGUGGCGAGCGAAAGGGGAAAAGCCCAAACCGGUGUCACUCAGUGGCGUGCCGGCCUAUGUGGCACCGGGGUUGCAGGACCCGACUGGGGGGCGGCACCAACCCCCGGGGAGUGACAAAUCCACCCGUUAGCCGAAUCCUCUGGAAAGGGGAGCCACAGAGGGUGACAGCCCCGUAGGCGAAAGCGGCGUGGACUCCCGUCGGUGAUCCUGAGUACCACGGGACACGGGAAAUCCUGUGGGAAGCAGGGAGGACCACCUCCCAAGGCUAAAUACUCCCUGGCGACCGAUAGCGCACAAGUACCGUGAGGGAAAGGUGAAAAGAACCCCGGUGAGGGGAGUGAAAGAGAACCUGAAACCGUACGCCUACAACCGGUCGGAGGGCUAUGCCGGGAGACGGGGCCUUCGGGCCCACCCCGGAAGGCCUGACGGCGUGCCUUUUGGAGAAUGAGCCGGCGAGUUGCUCUCUGUCGCUAGGUUAAGGCAGUGACAGCCGGAGCCAGAGCGAAAGCGAGUCCGAAUAGGGCGUUGUGGGGCCUCGGCCCCACAGGUGGCAGGGAGCAGACACGAAACCGGGUGAGCUACCCAUGGCCAGGGUGAAGCGGGGCUAACCCCCCGUGGAGGCCCGAACCUUUCGCCGUUGCAAAGGCGUGGGAUGAGCUGUGGGUAGGGGUGAUAUGCCUAACGAACCCGGAGAUAGCUUGUUCUCCCCGAAAUAGCUUUCGGGCUAGCCUCGCGCGUUCAGUACCGGAGGUAGAGCACUGGAUGGGCUAGGGGGCAUUUGCUUACCAAACCCAACCAAACUCCGAAUGCCGGUACUCCACAGCGCGGGAGUCGGACCACGAGUGAUGAGAUCCGUGGUCGAGAGGGGAAGAGCCCAGACCGUCGGCUAAGGUCCCCAAGUCCAGGCUAAGUGGGAAACGAUGUGGGGUUGCUUAGACAGCCAGGAGGUUGGCUUAGAAGCAGCCAUCCUUUAAAGAGUGCGUAACAGCUCACUGGUCGAGCGACCCUGCGCGGAAAAUAUAACGGGGCUCAAGCCUGGCACCGAAGCCGCGGGUCUCCGCGAAAGCGGGGGCAGUAGGGGAGCGUUCUGCACGCAGGGAAGCCGUACCGAAAGGAGCGGUGGAGCGUGCAGAAGUGAGAAUGCCGGCAUGAGUAGCGCCAAACGCGUGAGAACCGCGUUCGCCGAAAGCCCAAGGUUUCCGACGGAAGGGCAGUCCGCGUCGGGUUAGUCGGGCCUAAGCCGAGGCCGAAGGGCGUAGGCGAUGGACAUCCGGUUAAUAUUCCGGAACCACCCGGGUGGAGCGAUGGGGGGACGCCGCAUGGUAGGCCGGCCCGUUACUGGAUUCGGGUGCCAAACCGGUAGGGCGCUGAUGGGGGUAGGCAAAUCCGCCCCCGGAGCCUGAGAGGUGAUGGCGAGGCACAAGCCGAAGCGGCUGAGCCAAGCGGCCAAGAAAAGCCUCUAAGCGUUGAAGCCCGGGUGCCCGUACCGCAAACCGACACUGGUGGGCUGGGUGAAUAUCCCAAGGCGAACGGGAGAACCCUCGUUAAGGAACUCGGCAAAUUAGCCCCGUAACUUCGGGAGAAGGGGUGCCCCGGUAGGGUGAAGGCCCUCGCGGCUGGAGCCCGAUGGGGCCGCAGUGAAAGGGCCCUGGCGACUGGUUACCAAAACCACAGGUCUCUGCUAACUCGUAAGAGGAAGUAUAGGGGCUGACGCCUGCCCAGUGCCGGAAGGUUAAGGGGAGGGGUUAGCCGCAAGGCGAAGCUCCGAACCGAAGCCCC
rnacentral:rRNA from 1 species